rnacentral:tRNA from 1 species
GUCGAGGUAACCGCAGCAGGUAGUGCGGAUGGAUCGUCCUAAGUAUGGGAUGAGCGUCGGAUGGAAAGGGGUUCGAUUCCCCUUCUCGGCA